GCGCCUCUUUCCGUCCCCCUCCGCGGCGCGCGCCCAGUGCUCGCUCUCUUCCGCACUCCGGUUGCUCGAGUGUCCUGCCUGACAACCCCCCUCGUCGCUGCGCAGAUAAUUUCCUCGGCGUUUCAUUGUAAUAUGACGCUCCGGGGGAAGAAAUUGCAAAGCUUUCCGAUAUCGACCCGUCACAUUCAUUGGUUUAGCGCUUAAUGCUUUUAGUUUUAGUUCAGCUUUCUUUAGUCACAGGAGCACGCCAGAAAUGCACAUGCAGCUCGUUCAUUCUCAGCAAACAGGAAAGAGAGAUGCUGCCAGAACUGCUGAGCUGCUGAAUGAGUUUGCUCGCUGAACUGGAAGGAUCAAUACAAUGGAAAAAGGUUUGGAGAAGAACAGCAAAGAGACUUCCGAAUCCAGUGUUCAGAAGCUGUGGAGCUAUAAAAAUUGUCUGAGGAGCAAGGAUUAACUUUGAUGUAUUUCAUGAGUCAAAUACUCUGAUCUUUCGCUGAUGAAAAUGCUGUUUCUGAAGUUACUUCCACUUUUAAAAAUUAUUUAUUGGAGCAGGAAAUCAAAAAGAAAGAGUUGAAAUAAAAUUAAAUAAUGGUGAAGCGAUGAGAUUAAAAAGGCCAACAGCUCACUUGCAGAGCAUUCAAA